GCAUCGUAGAAUGGAGAGAUGGUUAACAUCUCCCCGGACAGGGACGAGAUUUGGGCUUUACCUGUUAGGCUGUUACCACACAUCCGGUUAAGGCUUACCACUUCGGAGGAUCUUAUAGAACUAAUAAACAAU